rnacentral:lncRNA from 1 species
CAAAACAGUUUUUUUUUUUUUUAAAUGAGUUAGUGGACUGCUGCCCUAAAACAGAAAAUUUCGGAUUUGUUAGAGUGCUCUAAAAAUUCUGGACUUGUGAUAUGUUAUAGUACACUCAAUAAGCUUUCCAUAGACUCCAAAACGGACUAAAUCCGACAUCGGAGGAGGGAGUUAUGGGAUUUCUCCCAAACUACACAAAGUUAAGAAAACUGUGAAAAGGACAGUUUUGGAACAGUCACUUCCGGGCUAAAUUCCGGGAGCUAAACAUAUCCAAAUAUGGAUUGUGAUAUAUGAAAACUGUAGUUUGGAAAGAUACGAAUCCAACAAAAUUGACGGAUCAUUAAUCGGAGUUACAGAUUUCGUUUUAUUUAAGUUUUGGUGAAGGACUCCAAAACUGCUAAAGUGCAAAAAGUUUCUGGCCAAAAUUUUCCGAGGGCUGUUUUGGACAUUUAGUUAAUGAAAAAACUUACAGGCUUUUGGGAAAUGAAAAUAUAUGGAAAUAUGUAGCUCGUGUCCAAAAAUGAACUAAUUCCGAGUUAAAACGACCAAGUUAUGACCAUUUCAAUUUUUGUGAUUUUCCGACGGAAAUCGCUAUAACCGGAGUUCUACAACUCCGAUUGCCACGAAAUUUAAAAUGGAGCAUCACGUUAACAUAUAUAAGGUUAUGUCAAAAGAUGGGCAUCUCUGGAGUUAAGCACGAGGUAGCUAAUUUUCUUAAGUCACGCACUAAUUAUGAUUUUUGAAAAAUAGUAAAAGAAAUUGAAAAAUUACGGAAAAAUAUUUUUUAUGUAUGAAAUACAUGUAUAUAUGUUUGACCAAAGGAUAAAAAAAUAAUAAGUUGAUUUGGUAUUUUUCGUGAAAAAGAAUAGUGAUUUCGG